CAGACAUGCUGCUGGUGGAGAACAGUUUAUUGAAUCACCUUAUGCCAUGUUUCUGGUUUGGGAAAUAUGAGUAUGAACCAGAUCCACUGCAGGCGUUCCAUAGACUUAAGCAGCAGCUGCAUCACAGGCUGACUGUGAAUGAGAUUUAUUUUUUUCUAAGUUAAUUAUUCUUAAAGAUUCAUUUGUUUUUUGGCCAGCUCUGUGCCAGUCUGCCAUCUGCCCAGUACUGGUCAUAUGCAUUAUACUUGCUCAGCUUUUUAACUGCACUUGGGUAGAUAAUUGAAAGAGCACAAGGGGAGCAGGCUUUUUGAUGAACUGGAAAGAUAAGUAUUCCCCAACAUGGAUAUUCACAUAAAAGUGAUCUUUCCUGAGGCCUGGAAUGGAGAACUAGUUAUAGAAGAGCACAUUCAAACCAGAUCCAACCCAAAAGAAGGUGGGUGGGAGUGUGGGAACAGGAGGCAUUCAGCUUAUUAAGCCAUUUGCAACUCCACAUUUGUAAAGUGUUAGCUGGGUCUCAAACUAACACCUGCCGAAACACGUUUUUGAUUUUCCCUUAAUGUUUUUUUUUAAUCAGGGGUGCAUACAAUAGUGAAAACUCACUGCCUCCAGCUGACCUCAGCUUUGCUUUCACUCUUGGAGGAUGAACACGUGUAACUCUUCUCCACAGACACUUGUAAAAAAGCAGGUGUUGCGAAACCCAACCCGUGUGCGGCUGUGGAGCUAUGUGAUCUGCCCAGCAGGAGCUGGAGGAUGCAUGUAAGGCACUGUCAUUCAUAAAGUUUACCAUUUGAACAAAUAACAUGGACUGGGAAGAAAGGAACUUCUGCUGACACCAUGCUGGCAAAACCUGAGUGACUCUAAAUUAGUCCUGACUUCAGAAAUGCGAGAAACUGGCCAGAAGUUGUUGUCUGGACAUCAGCUUCAGUUCUCAGACUCGGAAUGUUCCAUGCUGUGUAUGUCAAGGAAGUUUUCGCACCAAGGUCCUAUCCCGAACUCCAAACAGAAAUUCUGAAUGCCUCUUGAGAUUUCCAAACUACUAGUGUGAACUCAAAAGAUUCAAGUAAUUCACAUGCACCUUGUGUGACUUCCCAAGAUAA